rnacentral:misc_RNA from 1 species
GAACUCAUCAGCUGCCUAUAUUCUCUGAUAGCUUCAGAACAAACGCUUGAGUCUUGACCUCUUUCAGAAGAGUCUGAGAUGGAAAGGCCCAGUAACAUGGGCUAU